GAGUUGAGGCCAAUGGCGGCUCCACCAUCCUGUGGCUAUGAUUCCUGAACUUGUGGUCUCCUCAGUUGAUGAGGUGAAGAAAGAAAGCCUGGAGAAUUAUGCACGAGCUUCUCACUGUCUCAGCCCACAAGUAACACACCUCUUUCCCUCACAGCCCACACUGGCUGGAACCAAUCACAUAGCCCUGCCUAACUGCAAGGGAGGCCAGAAAGUGCAACACUUUCUCAUGGUCACGGGUGAGCACGAAACAUCUCUCCAAAUAUGGGUUGGGAAGAUUAAGAGACUAGUCCAGAAGAAAACAGUCUCCAGGGAGAAAUAUAUCUGGGAAUAGGAAUCGAGAAAGCAACCAAGAGAGCAGAACUGAGUGGAUGAGAGGAACUGUCAGACCACAUCUGCAGCUCUGAUUAGUCAAAUCCGAAAUGUGCCUGUUGAUCUACUAUUCCGUGGAAAUACUGGAAUCACCAGCUCAAUAAUAAGAGGAAAGUAAAUAAUACCAUACUUGCGUGGAUAAUUCCCCUCUGCUCAUACCUUCAUUCAGGUCAACAUAGAUCUAUCAUACUCCUACAGUGUAUAAGGGACGUGCUAAGCUUGAAGUACAUUCAUUCUAAAAAUCAAAAUACAAAGGCAUGGGAAGACUAAGAAAAUUUCAUAAACCUUCAUUAAAUUAUCAGAAAUACCUGGGAUUCUCAGCUCCAUUUAUAAAGAAACCAGAGUUACAGUUCUUCCAUUACUGAUUGCUUUCUGGAUUGAAUAUUUGAACUCUGCUUUAGUGAUUCCUCUUGCUUAUAUGUGGGAGGAAGACCCCCUACCCUGAGCCAGCAGCUGGAGCACAGCCUGAACACACAGUCUCAGGUAUUUAUUCAUAGCAGUGCAAGAAUGGCCUAAUACAUCAAGUAAACAGAUUAUUCCAACACAACAGAGAGCACUGUGACAAGGCUACGAGGUCACAAAGGGAAGAACAAGGAACUCUGGCUGGCGGUGAGAGUUUUCAGUGAAGUAACAAUAUCUGACUAGGGUUUUGAAGAAUGAGCAGAAGCUCUGCGUCAGAUGAAGAAGAGACAGGAGGCCCUCCAAGCAAAGGAACCACUCAUGUCAAGACAUGGGGCAAAAAGAGAGGAUGUAUUUGGAGAACAGAGAGUAACCGAAGGCUAUCAUUCAAUCAGUGAUAGUCUUCAUGGAGGUUAAUAUCAAAGGCAACCUGAAUUUCCUCAGACUUCAUGAGCUGGCGGUGAAGGGUGAGAUCACACAAGCAGUAAUAACCCAGCUCUCCCUGGCUCACUGCCUUACUUACUGGCCUUCUGGUACUCAGCAAAGCUGUCCCCAUGAGUUUGGGAGUCUCCAUUCCUGUCCUUCCACUCCCCUCAAACGUCUUUCAUUCAAGGUCACGUGGUAACUUGACUCCUCUCACCACUACUUCUGUGGGAAUGCAGAGGCCAGGCCAGAGCCUGUGGGUGCUGCCCUCCCCAGAGACUUCACUAUGCCCAGCUCCAGGGAGGACUGACUGGAGGAGGGGACCAGGCAUCUCCCCUGCACUCUGGGCCCACAGCAACCCUGUAUACCAGCCCGUAUUAACCUUGCAACGCCUUCCUCCAAAAGGCUGAGACUUCAACCACAGGACCUGGGUGGUGAUCACCACAAAAUUUCUUCCUGAACGUUCUUCUCCAACAACUUCUCACAUUCAGUUAUUCAUUCAACAAACAUUGAGCAACAACCUAAUCUUCUGGGCUCUGGAGACCGAGUUAAAAAGGAGACAGCAGGCCCCUGCCCCCGCUUCCCGACAGGUCACCACAUCUUGAGUGCUAAGACUGUCAUCACAGGGUGAGGAGGGGAAAUGAGCUCAGAGGGGCAGAACCUUCUGAAAGGGCAGAAUGGUUCAAGCAUCCCGCCAAGGUCAGAAGGCGCUGGAUCCAGGGCAAAAAUGAAGACAUAAGGGACCUUAGGUGACAAGGAAGAAGCUCCCAGGCAGCAUGUGGGAUGGACCCAAGGAGAACGUCAGAGAGAAAGAGUUCAGUCUGGUGUCUCCUGAAGCAGGUUAAAAUUAAGCUCGGCAGGCUCGACGUAAAUGUGCAGACAAAGCAAAGCAGGAAGCCUCCCACACUAAAAAGGGAAGAUAAGAAUCACAGAAGCUGGGAUGGUUUUUAUUGAAGGGCAUUUCAAAGCAAAUACAGACAUCUACAGCAUAUUUGUAAAUCCUCCGUAUGUGUAUGGAAACACACACCUUCACACAUCAAAACUGGAUUUGUUCCUGAGUAACAAAACGUCCUAAGAACAAAAUGAAAGAAAACCAAAUAGCAGAAAAAUACUUCCAAUGUAUAUACCACAAAGGAUUAUUUAUCAACUCAACACACCAAGAGUUAAGAAAAUAAUGCAACAGGAACAAAGGGCAAAGGAUAUGUACUGGGAAGACCACAGAGAAAGAAAAUGCAAAUGGCUAAUAAUAUAAAAUAUUUCCUAGGUUCAAUAGUAAUCAGGGAAAGACAAAAUUACACUUUUGACCUCUUAGACUGGCAGUGACAAAGAUUAUUUGAGUGACCAAGCUUUAGUCAGGCUCCUGGAUCUUCUAGGCCCAUCUGGGCACUUCCUCGUAAAAUACAGUUUUAACAAAAGCCCUGCUAAAUUGGUUUACCGAGAACUCCCACCCUCAAUCGAGUUCCUUAGCCCUUCACCUUUCCUCAGGUGAGGGCUGAUCAUCCUGUCCUGUCUUCAGCAAGACUGCUCUAACGCUGACGUUUCCUUUUAGUAAUUUUCCAUCCACUGACACCCACUUGUAAUUUAUAGCCAAGGAGCAAGAUACACUGCUCCUUGGCUAUAAGUUAUUUUCCCUGUUACAUUCAGAGUUGAGCCCAAUCCCACUCCCCGACUACAAAAUCGAUAGCAGUGGUCCCUAUACCUAUUGCAAUGGUCCUAAAUAAAACCUGCCUUACCGUGCUUGAACAAGUGUCAUCGAAUAAUUUU
rnacentral:lncRNA from 1 species